rnacentral:rRNA from 1 species
CAAUAGCGUAUAUUAAAGUUGUUGCAGUUAAAAAGCUCGUAGUUGGAUUUCUGGUGGGAGCGAUCGGUCUGGCGCUUAGCGCGAGUACUUGCAUCGUCUCCGGCCAUCCUUGGGGAGAGUCUGUCUGGCAUUAGGUUGUCGGGCAGAGGAUCUUCAUCGUUUACUGUGAAAAAAUUAGAGUGUUCAAAGCAGGCUUAUGCCGUUGAAUAUAUUAGCGUGGAAUAAUAAGAUAGGACUUUGGUACUAUUUUGUUGGUUUGCGCACCAAAGUAAUGAUUAAUAGGGACAGUUGGGGGUAUUCGUAUUCCGUUGUCAGAGGUGAAAUUCUUGGAUUUACGGAAGACGAACUACUGCGAAAGCAUUUACCAAGGAUGUUUUCAUUAA